rnacentral:rRNA from 1 species
UACGAAGGGGGCUAGCGUUGCUCGGAAUCACUGGGCGUAAAGGGUGCGUAGGCGGGUCUUUAAGUCAGGGGUGAAAUCCUGGAGCUCAACUCCAGAACUGCCUUUGAUACUGGAAGUCUUGAGUUCGAGAGAGGUGAGUGGAACUGCGAGUGUAGAGGUGAAAUUCGUAGAUAUUCGCAAGAACACCAGUGGCGAAGGCGGCUCACUGGCUCGAUACUGACGCUGAGGUGCGAAAGCGUGGGGAGCAAACAGG